rnacentral:lncRNA from 1 species
UUUUGCUUUGCGGGACAUAAGCUGCGCCUGGAACAGAAAAAACUGUACGCUUCAGUGAAGCAGUGUUAAGCAAUACCGGGUAUUUCUCAUUUCAUUUGACAGAAGUGAGUCUGCAUCUUAAGACGUUGAUUGUCGUGCAAUGGUCGGUGUUCGGUUUUAAGUUUAGGAGCGCGUUCGGUGGGCUUUGUGAACGCAGCCUGCGGGCAAUCAACUUGACCAGGCCGACCCGCCCUCUCCUCGAAGCUGACACCACCAAGAUCUCUGAUUUCA